GAGCCGGUGUUUUAGUGGCAGAAUGCUCGCCUGCCAGGCGGGUUGCCCCGGUUCAAUUCCCGGUCUUCUCA
rnacentral:tRNA from 1 species